AUGGGUUCAGGCUUCUCAGACUUCAAAGACAGACCCAUAGAUUCUCCUGCAGAGAAAUACUGUCUUGAAAAACAAAACAAAAACAAAAACAGCCCAAAUGGAAGUUUCUCAGAAAGUAAUAGUCAAAGUCUUAGCAAAGCACGCAGGGUGGGGAAACAGCAAUGAGACUGUCCACUUAAAAAAAGGAAAAAAUUAUCAACAUGGAAACAAGUGCUGCUGAGACUUCUGGAUCUACACAAGAGAGUACCCAUUUAAAUGCCAGAAAUGUGGGGGAAAGCUCGGACCUUAUUAACCACCAAAGAACUCACAGCAAAGAGGAACCUUUUAAGUGUCAGCAGUGUGGUAAGAGGUUCCAAUGGAGUUUCGAUCUUAAUAAGCACCUAACCACACACCAAGGUAAUAACAACAGCUAAGUGUUCAUGGCAUGGGAAAAGCUUCAGUCAGAAUACAAAUCCUCACACACAGCACAGGACUCGGGAGAGAGAGGGCUUUUCCCUGUUAUGAGUUCAGGAAAACAGCCAGAAUUCCCACCUUGUUAAACAUCAGAGAGCACACACAGGUGAGCAGCCUUAGACAUGCAAUAUGUGCAAGAGAAGCUUUUGCAGAUGGUCAUGCCCUCUCAGACUCCAGAAAUACCACCAAGAAAGAGAAACGUGUUGGUAUCCUCUGAAGAAAUUCACCCAAUAGAGCUUGGAUCUGAAGUUGAGAAAUUCUAAAUUAUGAGGCACGAAGAACAUUUCAUCAGAUAUUUUGGAAAUGAAAACACGCUCCACAGAGAGUAAUCAGGGUUUGCUCUGCAGGGAAACUCUGUUACUUGUGCUAGCUGCCAUUUUUAGUUAGACAUCUCAGAAAUGCUUAGCAAGAGUUUUAAGAGCAUUCUAAAUAAGGGAAAGAGCAAUUUGGAGAUUGUAUCUAGGAAAUACUUAUUUCAAUUUUGUAUAUCAAAUGCACCCAAUCUGUAGUCUUUAGUCACAGUACUAAGUAUUAGUUUUGGAACAUACAGACUAGAAGCAUUUGGAGCAUAGACUUCUAAGAAAAAAAGUAUUAACAUGUAUUUAUGUUUUUGUGGAAACCAUGGUAAUGAAUCAUAGCAAUGAAUUUAAUGUCAAUGUUUCACUGUGAAAUUAAUUCUCAGAUCAAUUAUUAAUUUGUAUGAUAAAGCCUCACUCUGUAUCCCAAUUUGGCCUUGAACUCACCAGCCUCCUGCCUCAGCCACCCAGGUACUGGAAUAGGUGUGCACCAUAACUAAUUUGGAACAUUUAUAUUUAAACAUUAUGUGACCCUAAGGAGUGGGGUCAAAGGAGGAGUUUAACCGUGCUGUUUGCUGGCCUUGUUUAUCCAUGAUAAUGCUGAUGUGUGUGUGUGUGUGUGUGUGUGUGUGUGUGUGUGUGUGUGUGUUUCACCUACUGCCACAAAACAGUUCUCUGUGAGUACCACCUGGGGUGAUGCUGAUCCAAUUCAUCCUUCUUGAUAAUUACAAGGAAUCAAAGGAAUUGAGUAAAAUUGGAUCCAAUGUCACCUGGCAAUAAAGUGUUGGUCCAAUGUUCACAACAGCUUAGUGGGCAAAGGUAUCAGCAGCACACAGAUUCACAGGAGAAGCCUCAGAUCUCCUGACUAGAUAUCGUUGACAGAUAACUGGAAGCUGUGGAUCCAUCCUUUAGAAGAUGACAUGAAGACUUCUCCGUCAAAGACUGAUUCAGAAGGAUUCCCUUCUCCAAGGUCAAUACAACCAGUUCUGGACUACAAGGACUACAAAUGUGCAUGAGAUGCCACUCCCAGUCUCUGUGGUGCUGAGAAUGGACCCACGCCCCUGUGCAGGCUCAGCAGGGGCUCUACCAGCUGAACCGCUCCUGAACCGUCUUCCUGUGUCUUUUAAUUUCUUAAUAGCUUACUUAAGUGUGGAAUAAUUUUUUUUGUCUGAAUGUAGCAGUAGAUCUAUUCACUUCUUUGAGAAUA